UACGUAGGUGACAAGCGUUGUCCGGAUUUACUGGGCGUAAAGAGCGCGCAGGCGGUCGUUCAAGUCGAGUGUGAAAGCCCCCGGCUCAACUGGGGAGGGUCAUUCGAUACUGAUCGACUCGAAGGCAGGAGAGGGUAGUGGAAUUCCCGGUGUAGUGGUGAAAUGCGUAGAUAUCGGGAGGAACACCGGUGGCGAAGGCGGUUCUCUGGGCCUGUACUGACGCUGAGGAGCGAAAGCGUGGGGAGCGAACAGG
rnacentral:rRNA from 1 species